GAGCGCCGUAGCAAUACGGAGCGGCAGACGGGAGAGUAACACGUGGGAACGUGCCCUUCAGUUCGGAACAACCCAGGGAAACUUGGGCUAAUACCGGAUACGUCCGUAAGGAGAAAGAUUUAUCGCUGAAGGAUCGGCCCGCGUCUGAUUAGCUAGUUGGUGAGGUAACGGCCUACCAAGGCGACAAUCCGUAGCUGGUCUGAGAGGACGACCAGCCACACUGGGACUGAGACACGGCCCAGACUCCUACGGGAGGCAGCAGUGGGGAAUAUUGGACAAUGGGGGCAACCCUGAUCCAGCGACGCCGCGUGUGUGAAGAAGGCCUGCGGGUUGUAAAGCACUUUUAGUGGGGAUGAAAAGCUCAGGGCUAAUACCCCUGGGUCUUGACCUAACCCACAGAAAAAGCACCGGCUAACUCUGUG
rnacentral:rRNA from 1 species